rnacentral:rRNA from 1 species
UACGGAAUGUGCAAACGUUAUUCGGAAUCACUGGGCUUAAAGAGUCCGUAGGCGGCAUGUUAGGUGAGGUGUGAAAUCCCCCGGCUCAACCGAGGAAUUGCGCUUCAAACCGGCGUGCUUGAGGAAGAUAGAGGUGGGCGGAACUGAUGGUGGAGCGGUGAAAUGCGUUGAUAUCAUCAGGAACACCGGAGGCGAAGGCGGCCCACUGGGUCUUUUCUGACGCUGAGGGACGAAAGCCAGGGGAGCGAACGGG